rnacentral:rRNA from 1 species
UACGGGGGGGGGCAAGCGUUGUUCGGAAUUACUGGGCGUAAAGGGCUCGUAGGUGGCCAACUAAGUCAGACGUGAAAUCCCUCGGCUUAACCGGGGAACUGCGUCUGAUACUGGAUGGCUUGAGUUCGGGAGAGGGAUGCGGAAUUCCAGGUGUAGCGGUGAAAUGCGUAGAUAUCGUGAGGAAGACCAGUGGCGAAGGCGGAUCUCUGGAGAGUUCCUGACGCUGAGGCACGAAGGCCAGGGGGAGCAAACGGG